GAUGAACGCUGGCGGCGUGCCUAAUACAUGCAAGUAGAACGCUGAAGGAGGAGCUUGCUCUUCUGGAUGAGUUGCGAACGGGUGAGUAACGCGUAGGUAACCUGCCUGGUAGCGGGGGAUAACUAUUGGAAACGAUAGCUAAUACCGCAUGACAACAGUUAUUGCAUGAUAACUGUUUAAAAGGGGCAACUGCUCCACUACCAGAUGGACCUGCGUUGUAUUAGCUAGUUGGUGAGGUAACAGCUCACCAAGGCGACGAUACAUAGCCGACCUGAGAGGGUGAUCGGCCACACUGGGACUGAGACACGGCCCAGACUCCUACGGGAGGCAGCAGUAGGGAAUCUUCGGCAAUGGACGGAAGUCUGACCGAGCAACGCCGCGUGAGUGAAGAAGGUUUUCGGAUCGUAAAGCUCUGUUGUAAGAGAAGAACGAGUGUGAGAGUGGAAAGUUCACACUGUGACGGUAUCUUACCAGAAAGGGACGGCUAACUACGUG
rnacentral:rRNA from 1 species